AUUCAGACUCAAGAAUGUUUUUCUAGAGGGUAUUGGGGUAGGCAAAGAAAACCAGGAGAGUUUGUAACAAACAGUAUGUGGGAUUUUUUUAGAUGUGUUCAAUUUGAAAGUAACUUGUGAAACAACUGGUGAUAUUUUGGUAUAAGACGUUUUGAAAGUUAUUUGUUUAUUUCUAAGGAUAACAAAGCUGAUGUAAUUUUAAAGUACAAUGCAGAUGAAGCUAGAAGCCUGAAGGCAUAUGGCGAGCUUCCAGAACAUGCUAAAAUCAAUGAAACAGACACAUUUGGUCCUGGAGAUGAUGAUGAAGUCCAGUUUGAUGAUAUUGGAGAUGAUGAUGAAGACAUUGAUGAUAUCUAAAUUGAACCAAGUGUUUUUACAUUACAAGUUCUCUGAGGAUGGUUCUACAGUUGGGAUUUUGGCCAUCAUCAAUUAAGAAGAGAAAUUCAUUUAGUGUGUAGUUUCUGAAAGCAAACUGAUUUAUUUUCAUUGUUUUAAAGUAUUUAUUUCUUUAAAAGCUGAGGACACUGAAUUAUCUUAAGUUAAAUGUUAAUACUUUAUUGUUUUGAUGUAAUGCAACUUAAAGAUAAAAGACCUAAUAUUUGCUGUUAAAAUAAAUAAACGAAUGCCUUUCCUACUGUGA
rnacentral:sRNA from 1 species